rnacentral:rRNA from 1 species
AGAACGAACGCUGGCGGCAUGCCUAACACAUGCAAGUCGAACGAGACCUUCGGGUCUAGUGGCGCACGGGUGCGUAACGCGUGGGAAUCUGCCCUUAGGUACGGAAUAACAGUGAGAAAUUACUGCUAAUACCGUAUGACGUCUUCGGACCAAAGAUUUAUCGCCUAGGGAUGAGCCCGCGUUGGAUUAGCUAGUUGGUUGGGUAAAGGCCUACCAAGGCGACGAUCCAUAGCUGGUCUGAGAGGAUGAUCAGCCACACUGGGACUGAGACACGGCCCAGACUCCUACGGGAGGCAGCAGUGGGGAAUAUUGGACAAUGGGCGAAAGCCUGAUCCAGCAAUGCCGCGUGAGUGAAGAAGGCCUUAGGGUUGUAAAGCUCUUUUACCCGGGAAGAUAAUGACUGUACCGGGAGAAUAAGCCCCGGCUAACUCCGCGCCAGCAGCCGC